rnacentral:rRNA from 1 species
ACUKGAGGUCGGGAGAGGUARGCGGUACUCCCAGGGGUAGGGGUGAAAUCCUGUAUYCCUGGGAGGACCCCCCGGUGCGAAGGSCGGCUAAACUGGAACGAACCUGACGGUGAGGGGACGAAAAGCCAGGGGGCGCGAACCGGAUUAGAUACCCGGGGUAGUCCUGGCCGUAAACGAUGUGGACUUGGUGUUGGAAUGGCUUCGAGCUGCUCCAGUGCCGAAGGGAAGCUGUUAAGUCCACCGCCUGGGAAGUACGGUCGCAAGACUGAAACUUAAAGGAAUKGGCGGGGGAGCAC